rnacentral:misc_RNA from 1 species
GAAACUGGAAAAUUCUUUUCUUAAGGAAAGUGAUAUAAUAGAAGUUUUUUCCUUCUCAAUGAUAUAAAUUAGUAUCGUUGCUGGAUCUACUCUUUGCAUGAGGCAGAAACAUUGUUCUCCUUCCUUCCACAGUUUCACAUCUUGUGGUACCUUUCUGUUACAUAGAUAAUUAGACUUAUUUGGAAAAACUUUGAGUUUGAAAAGACAACCUCGGUGUGCUCUCUGUAGAUAUUUAGACACAUAUUUCUGAAAGCGAAAUAAAAUGGUGUUAUAAAGCAGCUGUUACCCCUGGCCCUACUGUGAAGGCCUCAAGACUAGUUCUUGAAAAUGCACCUUGAGAUUUGAUGCAUGUGGUUUUCAUAUCGAAUUCUAAAGAAAUAAGUUGGAUAAAGAAGAUAUGUUGC